GAACCCCUGCUAUACACGUGAUAGAUUUGAAGGUUUUGAGCCAACAGUAAAAAAAAAGGGAGUCUGACUUUGAUCGUGGAAAGCGGGCCCUUCAGAUGAAAGGGAGUCUUGAAGCGUUCAAGAGGACACCCACCUGGUAAUCCAGGUUCAAACUCUCAAUCUACACGGUAGAAGCGGGGGGACA
rnacentral:other from 1 species